AUACGUAGGUCCCGAGCGUUGCGCGGAGUCACUGGGCGUAAAGCGUCCGCAGCCGGCUCCGUAAGCGGGAUGUCAAAGCCCACGGCUCAACCGUGGAACGGCAUCCUGAACUGCGGAGCUUGAGGCACGCUCAGGCAGGCGGAAUUCCCGGGGUAGCGGUGAAAUGCGUAGAUCUCCGGAGGAACACCGAAGGGGAAGCCAGCCUGCUGGAGCUGUCCUGACGGUUAGGGACGAAAGCUAGGGGAGCGAACCGGAUUAGAUACCCUAGUAGUCC
rnacentral:rRNA from 1 species